ACCAGCAGCUAGAUCUCUGCAACUCUCACAUGGUCGCCCACUGAAGCUAAUUAGGGCUGCGCCCAGUCAGUACCUGGAUGGGAGACCACAUUAGAAAGCUAGGUUGCUGCUGGAA
ensembl:rRNA 5S_rRNA 5S ribosomal RNA